CCGGGUUUAAGCAAUUCUCCUGCCUCAGCCUCCUAAGUAGCUGGGAUUACAGGCAUGCGCCACCAUGCCUGGCUAAUUUUGUAUUUUUAAUAGAGACAGAGACAGGGUUUCUUCAUGUUGGUCAGGCUGGUCUUGAACUCCCAUCCUCAGGCAAUCCACCUGCCUCCGCCUCCCAAAGUGCUGGGAUUACAGACAUGAGCCACCACACCUAGCCUUAAAAGUAUUUUUAAAACCUCUGGUUUUAGAAUCCAAAUUACACCAUAAACACCCCACACUUUGUUAAAGUGAAAAAAUCACUCAUCUUUUGCAGAGGUUAAGUCUUACUUGGUAAGUAUUUUCUUUAGAGACACUGGAGUAUAUAACAGUUUCCAAUGACUAGAAACUGUGUGUCUAAUCUAUUUUCUGUCAUCAUAAAUAUGUUAUGGCUCUUGUGUAACACUAAUUCACUUAAUACCAAAAAGCCAAAAAGUCUCUUGAUGGAUGACUUAAUCCAUAAAGAAUAAUCUCAUGGCAUCUAGUAUACUUGGUACACAUCAUCCAACAAUGCAAACACCUCAUCACACUGAUGGAUUACCUGAAUAACCUAGAGUUUAAAGUUUCCUUUUAG
rnacentral:lncRNA from 1 species